GAUGUUUUGCCUAAGCAUUCUCUGGAUAUUUAUUUAACAGACAAUUUCAUACAUGGCUGAACGCGUGGUUGGGACUGGAUCUUUUGGUGUUGUUUACCAGGUAAUGUGUUGAUAGUUCAAAACAAUAAAGUAAAGAGUUGUGAGCCCUUGAAUCAGAAAUGCCAAGUUUUCUAACUCUUCACUGUAAUAACAGGCCAAAUGCAUUGAAACUGGUGAAUCAGUUGCUAUAAAGAAGGUACUUCAGGAUAAGAGAUACAAGAAUAGGGAGCUUCAGAUCAUGCGCCUUCUUGAUCAUCCUAACAUUGUUCAGCUUCAGCAUUGUUUCUAUUCAACCACUGAUAAAGACGAAGUAUACCUUAAUCUUGCUCUUGAGUAUGUAGCUGAGACCGUCCACCGCGUCUCAAGGCACUACACCAGAAUGAACCAUCCACACGUUCCUAUCAUAUAUGUGCAACUUUAUACUUAUCAGGUAGCCAUUUGUGAUUCUUUCAUUGUCCUAGUAUUGGUUCAUGGCUGAUCAUAAUUAGUGGUUGGUCUUAAUUGAGUCCAUUGACCUCCAUUUUUUGUGUAGAUCUUUCGUGCGCUAAAUUAUUUACAUAAUGUUGUCGGUGUGUGCCAUCGUGACAUUAAACCUCAGAAUUUAUUGGUAAGAACCAUUUGCAACUCUGUGUUUGCCUUGUUAUUAUUGCCUUACUCGUUGCUAGACUAGCCAGUUAUUUACUUGGUCUCAUUUGUUCCUCAGGUCAAUCCCCAUACUCAUCAACUAAAGAUGUGUGAUUUUGGUAGUGCAAAGAAGCUGGUAUGUAUGCUAUAGUUUCCUUUCUGGUUGUCCUUCUCUCCUUCCUAUCCAAGUUUCAAGCUCAAAGUUCUCUAUAUAUGUUCUCAUGUUCAUUAUGCCAUCAUUUAGGUGCCAGGUGAACCCAACAUAUCCUAUAUAUGCUCAAGGUAUUAUAGGGCACCAGAACUUAUAUUUGGGGCAACCGAGUAUACCACGGCCAUUGACAUGUGGUCUACUGGUUGUGUCUUGGCUGAGCUUCUUCUUGGACAGGUUGUUUUGUUUUCUUUUUUCGAAUUGGAAGAUCAUGAUGGCUCUAUGUUUUGUGAUGCUAAUCGAGGUUCUUCUUUUCUUUGCAGCCAAUGUUCCCCGGAGAAAGCGGCGUUGAUCAGUUGGUGGAGAUAAUUAAGGUGCGUUGUGCAAUGGAUAACUGCAUGAAACCAAUCAUCUUCUCUCAUUUCCUACUGUUGUGUUCCUUUUCUUGACUGGGGUGCUUUCAAUCAGGUUUUGGGUACCCCAACAAGGGAGGAAAUUAAGUGCAUGAAUCCGAAUUACACCGAAUUCAAGUUCCCCCAAAUUAAAGCUCACCCAUGGCACAAGGUCUGUCAACAGUAGUCACCUUCACUCCUUCUCAUAUGUACCAUGUUUGGUUUGAUUGGUAAUGAUAUGAAAUUGCAGAUCUUUCACAAGCGAAUGCCCACUGAAGCUGUGGACCUCGUAUCAAGGCUGCUCCAGUACUCGCCAACUUUACGUUUUACCGCUGUAAGUAUAUUUGAUUGUUUCAUACUCAAGUAACGAGCUUGUUUUCACUGCAAACGAGUUACAAGUCUUGUAUAGAAUCACCAACUCUCUUUAACUUUUAUGUGGUAUAUCAGUUGGAAGCAUGUGCUCACCCUUUUUUCGAUGAUCUGAGAGUCCCGAGUGCAUCCUUACCUAACGGUCGCGUUCUACCUCCUCUCUUCAAUUUUACUGCUCAAGGUAAAUCAAUCAAACUGAAAGGUCACUGUGUUCUCCGACAAUAUUGUCGUCAUGAUUUCUCUGUUGUAACUUCUUCCCCACUGCAGAAUUGGCCGGUGCAUCAACUGAAUUACGUGAACGUCUCAUUCCUGAGCAUGCAAGGAAAGACUAGUGAAUCAAUGAUGGCAUACGUACUGAAUUCAUUUUGUAUCUGCAAUCGCACGGAUCUUCCUGCUGGUGCAGUUGGAUUUGAGAUUAUUUUUCUAUACCUACCAAGCUAAGAUCAGAGGAGGAUGCUGAGGUUGGGUGAUACGAUUAUCUGAUGGAAGGCCGUUCAUAGUUAUUCAGAGCUGUAAAUGGAACUAACUUCUACAGAGCGAGGCAGGCAAGGACUGAUUGACACUAACAGAGUUUACUUAUGACUUGUGGUCAAAAUUAUUGGAGGGAAAUGGUGUGAUAUGUUGAUGAUGCCUCAUUUUUCACAUGAUAUGUUUUUGGUGAUUAUGGCUUCUUGGUAUCCAUUAGGAGAAGCUAAAUAUUGACUGACCCUGUAGAUGGAUUAGGAUUGUUCCAGGUACGCACAUGGUGCUACAGUGAAACUCAGUUUGUUUGUCAACUUCUGGUGUCUUAAGAUAUAGCUGAUGGUUACAAGGUAAACUGAAAAUGAUGAACCUUUCACAAUGGUGGCUUUUAGGAAAUGAAACCAUGUAUUUCUAGGAAAAAUGCGGCUAGUUAGUCGAAUUUGUCCUCUACUUUUGCGCUGAAAUACAAGCUCGUUAUUUUUAUCAAAUAUAUCGAGCGUUGUUCUUUUGUUAACGGAUGUAAUCAUUUUGUCCUAUCGUUGGAUUCCGUCAUAACGUCUUUUAAUUUUGUUGAUGUACCGCUCACACGCAAGCUGAAAGCAAACUGACAAUUACCUCUGGUUGAACCAUGAACUAAAUGGGUUAAGAAUCCUAUUUUCCUCAAGCUCCAGUUAGCCUUGAAAAGCUCCCUCCCUUUUGGUGGUUAGACCUAGGUGACAGAACUAUCGAUAUGUAGAGUGCGGUGAUAGAGUUGUGUGGCUGAUUUUGUGGAGUGAAAAUAAUACUGAACGACGAUAUACAGUCGCAAGCUACGUUAUUUGGUAAGUUCAAUCUAGUUAUGAUGUUUCCGAUUUCAUGGUUUAGGAGUUUUUUCGUUUAUAAUUUAAAGAUUGAAAUUGAGCCCGCUAAUAUUUAGGGUUCAAUUAUUGUAGAAAAUGAAGAAUCAUUGACAAUUUUUUUUGUGAUUCGAUCCAAUGGUCGAAGAUCGAGCGAAAUAAGUAAUUAACAAUCUUACAAGGAGACUAAGUAAAUAUGAAAGGCUUCACAGGGCCGGUAAUCAUAUCAGUAGCAAUGAUUUCGUUGAGACGACGAGUUUGCUUAUAUCAACUGAAAGAGGUAGAGAUUUGAAUACUAGCAACGUCGAAAAGAAGAACAAAUAUAUGUUUUCUAGGGUAGUUCCAACAGUAAUUGGAUUUGUUUAUGUUGUUAUUGCGAUUGUAAUUGGUGUCUUUUUAAUCAAAUGAAAGCAUGUAUGCCGUGUUUAUGAAUAUAUUUCUAUCAUCUCCUCCUAAAAAUUGCCGACGAUAGGACAAAAUAAUUAAAGAUAAAUUUGUGCUUUGACCCAAAUGUAAUAGAUGAUUUCGGCUAAUUAGUAAUGUUCGAACACAACACAUCUAACUAACAACAAAAUCAGCGGCCCGGUUAGUGGUAACUACUUAAACUGGAGAUUUCGUAGAAGAGUGGGCUUUUUUUUAGAUUGGAGGUUUCGCAAGUAAGGAACCGCCCGUCUCCGGCGAUACACCUACCUCAGGCGAUUCAGACAAAUCUCCGGCUUCUCCACCAAUUUUCGGUACCAGUAAACCGAGGGAUCCACCGAUUACUUCCAGAAAAUCUUCAGGCGAGUUCGGCUGCCCAAGUCGCAUUAUUAUUCCGCAACUUAACCGCCCUGUCAACUCAAGCGGACUGUGGCGUAGAAAAAGAGUUGGAGAAGGUGCCCAGGUUAACCGAGAUACAGAAUCCAAGUGGCAGAAACCCUAGAUUACCUUCAUAAUGAAUGUAAGUCGAGGAUUCUCUGCUCACUUAACUUCUGCAUUUUCUUUUCAGUAAUCAUUGCGAGUCCUAUUACCGUUUUAGGAGUUUGAUUUAUUAAUUGAGUCACGGGAUGCUUGGAAAUUGAAUCAUUUCAAUGUCUGGAACCGUGUUCAUGCGUAUUAUGGCCAUUCUUUUAUUUUCCUUUACGGGUUUACUUUGGUUCCAUUUUUGUUGUUUGGUGUUUUCUUAGUGGCAUCAAUCAAUAUCUGCAAGAGACAAAUGGUUCUUACUAAAGACAGUAGAUCCAACUUGCUACACUGACCUUGAACCUUUCUUUUCUCGACCUUGCAUUUCCUGAAUCUCAAGCAUUUUUGCUACACUGACCUUGAACCUUUUCUUUGUCGACCUUGAUUUCUUGAAUGUCCAGCAUUUGGUUCCUUGGUAUAUGAAAGUUUCAUUUGAUGCUGCAUCUCAAGAACUAGUUACUACAUUGCCUUCUGUAUUUUUCUAACCAUCAUAUUCAUAUUCAAGGGGGUUUAUCUUGAUCCUUAAUUAUACCACUGUACUAUGAUUGGAUCUCAUCCUUUAUUUAUACCAUUCUACUAUAAUUAGAUCUCAUAUAUCAGUAGAUUGAAGAGUUUGGAAACAACAUCCCUCCAGUAUUUCCUUUUUUCCACUCUCCUUAAAAUUCUUUGAUGUAUCAAUAUUUCUUCCUGUCCUUCUAAUACUUGUGGGAUUUAUGAUUGAACUUCAUACCUAGGUUUAUGUAUCAAGAACCUUCUGACUUCUCUGAUCCUUCAGGCGGGAUAACUUAUUCAGGUACUUGCUUCUUCUGGACUAGUUACUAGUCUGUCCUUGAUUCAUUGUAAUACUUCAACUCACACGGUCCAUCACUUCAUAAUAACGAAUUAGUUACAUGGUUCUAGCUUCUUUCAAGGAGUAGACUUUGGCUGAAUAUUUGCAAUGAUUACUAGCGUACCAGGCAACGUAAUAAGUUAUUCCCAACUUUAUUUUAUGGCAAAGAACAGUUCUAAGUAACGGUCUGCCCACAAGCCUUACAUGGUAUCUGAUUAUAAUCUUGUUUAUCUGAAAUUAUCUCACGUUUACUGAGAUUCUCAAAUCUGACAUUUAACCUUGGAAGCUCCGCAUGUUUAUGUACUUUACUUACAAUAGGUUGAAGAUAGUUAUUUACCUUUAAAAUACUUGUAGAUUCCGUGUUUGUCAGCUUUGCAAUUAGCGAGUUCAACCUGUGCUUUCUUUCGCUCGAUUGCCCAGUAUGGACUUGUGAUAUGUUGGUGAUAUGACAAAUGGAGUAGCUGGAAAAGUACUUGUAGUCAUUGUGUUCGACAAAAUACGGCAGCUCGUACUCAUGUUAGCUAAUUUGCUCGUUUGUUGCAGAUCUGCGGCUGCUUAUCCGCCUGGAGCCCUCCUCUGCUGAAUAGAGAGGAAGUAUAUUCUGUUAGUUUCAUCCAAUGGAUUUGAGGAGUUCCUACAAUUUUCACUUCAUUAAUGCCAUUAAAGAUGGUAAGGCAGUGAAGGCCUCAAAUGUGUGGCGUGGUAAGCCAGCCCUGAAGUUUAAGAAUGUGGAAGAUCUGUACGAGUUUUCGGGAAAUGGUAGGCAUCGCUCAUCCGGAAGACAUAUGAUGAAAGUUCUACUGCAAGAGCUUCCUGAGCAUGAAGGUGAUGAAGGCAAGGUUGAAAAUUCACUGGUCACUGGGGGAAGCAGAAUACAGAUAAAAAGGGAGAGUGGAGCUUUGGAAGUCAACUCUAGUCAUGGUGAGAGAGAAGUAGAUGAAGACCAUAAGGAUGAUGAUGAUAUCGAUAUUUUUGAUCUUACGCUCAAGCAAAUCAGGGCAAGAUUGAAAGCAAAGAAACGGAAACGUUCAAGUGCAGAAUCAACUGGAUGUUGCUCCUCAGUUGGAUCGGACAAUUCAUCUUCCAAAUCUGAGAUUGAUGACUGUAACAUGACGGAGUCCCUCCACAGUUUUGCUGCUAAAAUCAUUAAGAAUAAGAAGAUGAAGAAAAGGCUGAAAAGAAACAGCAACUUAAAAUCAUCCCAUCAUGCCUUAUCCAUUGUGAAGUUUGAAGGAGUAUCUAACUGUUAUGAAUGCCCAUGUCACUCUGAUGCAAGAUAUGAUGCACAUGUUGAUGUCAAUGUCGAGGUUCCUGAGCGUGAUCUUGCAGAUUGUCAAGCUAUUGUCUUAAGUGGCAUGGACUCCUCCUAUAGUUGGAAAGAGCCGCUUGAUUCUGUUAUAUUCCCUUUCAAUGUUGAGCAUGGCUUAGGCGAUCAGUGUGAUGGUGGGAUUCUUGAGACUGGUUAUGUAGAUUGCCAACCAAUUUCUGUCGAUUCCAUGGACGACUCUUGUGGCUGGCUUGUGCCGGUUGUUCCUUCUGGAGCUCCCUUUGAUGAACAACCUUGCUCAAGUUUCGGAUGUGAUGUUGAAAUGGUCAUCCCAACAGUGUCUUCUGAUGAGCUUGUGGAAUCUGAAGUUCUGGAUUUUCAAACCAGAUCUGUUACAGUUGACGGUGGUGCUUUCCAGCCUCUGACGUCAAAUUACUUCAGUAACGAGCCUCAAUGCUGUUCUGGCCAGAGUCAUUUUCAAACAGAGGAGUUUGAUAGAGAUAAUGAUGAUGUCUUCCCGUAUCAAAGAACAACUUGUGUCAAUGGGCUACAAAACUAUUCUGUUAAUGAAAUGUCUUACCAACAUUUGGAGGAGACAGGAAAGGCAUCACCUCCCAGUGCGAACACGUCUCAAUAUUGUGCUUCGAAUGAAGAAUCGGAUAAAGACAUAGAGCACGUUGUUCCACUUGGUAAAGCUGAUGCAGAAGACUUGGGACUGCGAGUUAUGAUUCUAGACAAAGCAGGAGUCGUCGUUGAUCAGUUGGCAACAAAGUUGUCUUCAUCAAAAUUUGAGAAUCUGGUUGUUGAUUCACAUGAGAGAGAUGAGUUCGGCGAAUCCGUGUCUCCCAGUAAGGGUCCAUCCUUAACGGUACUUGACGAAUCUGAAGAUGAUUUACUCGUCAGUAACAAUGAGAAGUUGCAGAAUGAUACCAGCCAGUUCGAAAUCACUAUAAAAUAUAGCACUGAAUGCUUGGCAGAUUCAAGUCUUCCUGGGGGUGAAGUUGAAGAUGAAAAAACCUGCCUAGAAACCAACUUUGAAAGCUGUACUGGUGCAGUCGUGGAGGAACAAGUUGAGAUUUCAUUUCCAAACUCAAGCCAGAAUGACUCACUUUCUGAUGACUCUUCUCCAGACGUGGAAACGGAGUCUCUGUCAUCUCCCAGUGCUGUUUCGGUUGGAAGAAAGAUUUUUUGCACUCAUCAGCAAGUUCAGUUAAUUGAUGGUGAGGACUGUUGUAUCGUGGAGCAGCAACAGCAGCCUCCUGAAAGGCUCCUUUCAACCAGGAAGGUCUGGUAACAUUUGUUGUUUGCUAUUUCUAGUAUAGAAAUUUUUAACCAAUUCUUAACCAAUUAGCUUAUUCACGUUCUUCAGACCAUCUCUUCAACGUCUCAAGAAAAGCUACGGAAAGCUAUGAACUCCAACGAGUUAGACGAUGAGCAAUUGUACAGUGAGUAUUCUUGUCGACCCUUUUUCUGCCCCUCUGUAGAGAAAUUUUAAAAUUUCAUUGCAAAGGAUACAAUUUAGCGUGAUGUCCUCCAGCUAAUAAGAUAUUACAUGAUGGUUUAUCUCAGAAUAUGCAAGGAAGUUAUGUUAUGGAAAGCGCACUAGUAAUACAAAUGCUAGGUCAGAUGAGAUCAAUCAGCAGGUUAAGAGAGUUGAAAACACAAUAAGCCCUCAUCAAUUGAUGAGGAAACUCAAAAGUGGGAAACCCAGCUGCCCACCUAAAGAUAUUCCCAGGGUUGCUCGUGCUAUCCGCAAUUCACCCCGUUUCAGUACAGGGUGCACGUCCGUACAAAGUUGCUCAGAGAAUGCCAUUAUGUUCACACAGAACCAGAUGCGCGACUUCGAGUCCAUGACUACCAAACUUGCAAAGGAAUUGAAGUCCAUGAAGGAAAUUGUUGAAUCAACAUUGCUGUACAAGGUCAAUCCUUGUACCACCCCCAACUAUACUCACCAACAGGUACAUUAUCAAACAAAUUCCCAAAGUUACUUGUAUAAGCAGAUUACCCCCUAUCUCAUAAAUUCUCGAUCUAGACCAAUGUUUAAUUUCUACCUUGUUGGUUAUGAUUGGUUAGGUGAGUGGUGCCAUAGAGAAAGCAACAAAAGCAGAAGAAACAGCACGGCGAUGGAUCUCUACGAUGGGAAGGGAUUGUGAUCGCUUCUGCAAGCUGAUGGUUUGUUUCUCUGCUCUGCUUUGCUCAUACUUUCGGCAUUCCUAAAUGCCAAGAUAUAAAACAAAUCUUUCCAUGUUGAUUCACUAAUAGUUACCAUCCAUCCAUCCAUCCAUCCAUAAAACCACAGAAACUCGUCCAGAAAGGUAACUCUACUCCAGCGCAGGCUGUCCAGAAGGAGAAAAGGAAGAUAUCAUUUGCAGAUGAAGCUGGCGGAAACCUUUGCCACGUCAAGACUUUCAAGAGCGAGGUAGAGUUCAUUGCUGAUGAAGCCAUCGUUGUUGAUUGAACGAAUGAUGGACCAUUGGUCUCACGGUACAAGGUACAUCCAUUUCUUGAUCCAAGGGAUAGCCCAGUUCAAUCAAAUGAUACGAGGGUUAAAAUGAUGUCAUUUCUCUGAAAUGUACUUGGGGGAGGAGUGACUAAACCUCAUGGUGUUGGAAAGUAAGUGGUAGUUUAAGAGUUAUGCAUAAUGAGAAUUUGUAGAGACUGGGUAUGAAACUGAUGGUAAAGCUUCAUUGUGAUUGCAGAUAUGCGGCAGAUGUAUAUGCACUAUUCUGUACAGUUAUGCGGAACCUUGUGAUCACAAAGCUAAAUGACUAUUGGAAUUUCCUUCGUCAAGGUGGAGUAGAUUGCUUGUGAGAUGAGUUGUUGUCGGUGUUGUAGUUUUGAAGGGGCCGGCUGCUGCUUUUACUUUUUUUUUAGAACUUUGGUGAGCUUCUGAUAAUUUCUCUGGCCAAAUCUGGGCCGCCUCAUGUGUUAUUUUGGAUAGCUAGCUUCGCAAGAUGAAUGAAAUCAUGUAUGGAGUAGGAGAGUUAAGUAUUAUAAUUAUAUUGUUCCUGGUUUUAUUAAGUUUUUUGAAGUUCUGGGGUCUCAGCUUCACCACGAGCUUGAUUUGCCUGAAACGAAGAACAGGGCAGAUGGAGAACCUAGCUUCCAGAUUGUUGUCUUUCAUGUAUUGUUAUCUUUCUUGUGUAUCGAGCUAUAUUGCGUUAAGGGUGGCAGUGGAUAACCGGAAACUGGGUACCCAACCGGAUGUGAAUGCCGGGGAAUUACUGGUCAAACCGGGUGUUUGACGGUUAUCGGGCGCCCCGCUACCCGUGAUCACCGAUUACCGGGCGGUGUUGGUAUUUAAGGAAUCCAAUAGAACAAAUCCAGAACCCUUCAGUAAAGUAAAAUAGAAGUCCUCAUCAGUUCCGCCGCUCGAUUUUUUCAUCUCAUCCUCUCAACUCCAAAUCCUAAGGCUCUUCCGCUUCUGUGGAAUUCUCACACUUUGCAUCUCGAUAUAGGAAUUUCGGCCAUAAUCUCUGCAUUCAUCGGUGAAAUAGAGAAAUAAUUGGUGAAGACGAGAGAAGAGCAUGAUGAUUUGUUUAUAAAGAAGAGUUCAUUCAUUAAAUUGGGGAUUUGAUUCAAACUGGUAACAUAUAUACUUAACUGACAAAAAUAAUACUCAUCGAUAAAUAUCAAAAAAAUUAUAUUUAUAUUUAUUGUCAACCGUCAAUAUCGAUUUUUUAAAAUGGACGUUUAUGAUUCGUUUACGUUACCUAAAAAACUCAUAUAUUUGUACAGGAUCGUCAAACAUUCUUGUUCCGCUAUCGGGGCUCGAUCGAUCAGCCCACAUGAUGAUCUAGUUUGACGUCAAAUGGAUAUGCAAGGAUAUUUUAAAGUAAUAUUAGUCGAUCCAUUGAUUAAGUUAUUCAUAUUUGGAUGUGAAAAUAUCCAACAUAUUCACUUUAUAACUUUUAGUACCAGUACUGAUAAGAAGAUGUGAAGAGACAAGCCCAGCUUAUAUUUCAUGUAAUAUCUCUACAAAUAAUCCCACCAAAAUCCAACAUGAUUCGUUUGAUUUUCACAUCAUGGCUCCAUUGAAACUCAAACUAGAUAUCUUAAACUAAUUCAUCUCUGCGUGUUACGUUCAAAUGGCUCAUGAUUUUGUGUCGAAGAUAUACGAAGAAGAUCGGUAACUUAGGACCCGAUCCCCGUAUGAUUUUGUAUCGACUUUCCGCCAACUUUGCGCAACAAGAGAUCAAUACGAUAACAGGCGGGUUUACUGGUUGGACUUUGAACCGCCCUUUAUCAAAAUGUUUGUUGUCAUGAUGGUUCAAACAAGGGGUUCAUGAUGAUUCAAUCACGGGUUAAUUACUAUUAAUUAUGUUUUACGCGGUUGAAUCAUAUAGUGCUAUACUAACCAGUUCAACCACUCGAUUUAUAUGGUUAUGAAAACCAUGCAUCCAACGAAGGAGAUCGACCACGGGAGGGUCUAGUUUAGUGAUUUUACAACUAUAGUGAAAACAAUUUCUUUUCAUAUUACCUCGUCGUUGUUAUCGUGCAAAAAGGUUUUCAGAUGAUCCAAGUUAUGUCACCAAUGAUUUCAUAACAUUUUUUGAAAAAUUUAUGUCCUUCGAUCCAAAUCCGACUCACGGUGAUUUUUGUGUGUGUGGUAGGGGAUGGUGGGUAAGAGUGGGUUGGUUUAUUUACUGAUGUUGAUGCAUAUUAGGCAUGAACUGAAAAUUCAAAGUACAUAGGAUAUUUCAAAAUUGGUGUCACCUCAAUAUAUAUCCACAAAUUAAAUUCAACUAGCCAUUAGUAAAAGUGAUUUUGGUUUUUAUCCACUUUUGGAAGAGGUCAAUUAAAGUAUCCAAUUAUUCAUAAUCAAACGAGAAAUAAGUCGUACAUCAAUUAUAAGUAGGAUAACAUAAGACUAGUAACAAAAAUAAAGUGAAUAGGAACAUGUCAUGUGCAAUGCGAGCUACGUACGUAACCACAUAUUGUCUUUCUGCUAACUAUACUCAAUUUUAAACUACUAUAUCUAGUCUUGACAUAUCACGAAAACUAGUAAUCUCAGAACGAUGUAAGUGGGCUUCUUCGUCUUCUGCCAACAAUAGUUCAAUCACAACACUCGAAUCCAACUGCAUCGACACUCCCUUUGGCUUGCAACACUCGAAUCCAACUGUUAGAUUUCUUUAGUAACGAUAUCUUUGCUUACCCGAUAAAAAGUAGCAGCAAUUAGCCAAUAGGAAACUGAGGAACUAUUGUUUAGAUUAUGUUUAGACAAAGCACUUAACACAUGAGUGCUCUAUUUAAUUAAUUACUUUAUACGUUUGAUUUAUUUCUUUUUAUUUGUAUACUUGGUAUAUCAAAAUGUUUGAUAUUUAAUAAAAAAUUUAGUACUUAAAAGAGCAGCGCUGUCACCGUGUUUAUGCGGUAACCGUUUCCGAUCACCAUGCGUGUAUCGUUGAUUCAUUGUUGAUUGCCUCGCUUGAAUUGCCGUGUUGUUGCCUCAUUAUCUCUCGCUCUGAGAGUUUGUUAUCUCUCGCUAAAAGAGUUUUUAGCUGCGCCUUUUAUGACUUCAUCGUCAAGCCCUAAUCACACCAUCACCGCUUACAGUCCUACCACCGCCAACGACACCAACUCCGGCCAGACCUCACCCACUCACCAAAUCAUAAACACCACCAACCAUCCCACCAACACCACCCCAUCGACCGCCCUCAUCAACACACCACACCAACCUUCCUCCCAUCCGCUCCGACCUACCUCGACAACCAUCUACCCAAACGACAAUCUGCCGCCCACCCUAGCUAUGAAUAACACAGAUCUCGCAAACACCGGCAGGAGCACCAAAUCGACCCGAACGGGGAGCGACAAUUUCAAUAAGGGGACCGGAACACCAUCAUAUCCGCCGUGAUGUAAGCGGCGUUUGAAGGUCGCUCAUCAAAAUCUCCAAAGAAGGUCAACCAAGGACCGUCCGCAUCAUUACCUCUGAUCGGCCCACAGAGGACAAUUGGUCAACAUCACUGAAUUAUUGGCUACACGGCCGACGCAUUCAAACUCGUCCAGCGACUCCACUCAGCGGGCGAUCCCCCCGAAUCAGCACAGUCAAGUAUGUAGGAACAGUGGAAGGCUACUCCGACACUUGGGUCGACGUGGAUUGGGACACUGGUGCAGGCAAACACGACGGGACUGUGAACGGAACUCGUUACUUCCCAGCUAGAUUGGAGGGCUCCGAUUCUCGAGUACGGCCACGGAAUUUUAGUUCCGGCAUUUCGUUCCUUGAAGCUCUAAAGAAGAAGAAGGUAAUGUCAAAAGAAGAUUUUUUUUGGUUGGUUCUACCAUUUUUUAAUUAGUUGAUUUUUGAUUCAGGGUUCGAUUGCGGUUAUUAGUGAGGAUGUAUGUGUUUUUUAUUACAAAAUUUUUAGUUUGAAUUUUUGGCUCUUUCCAACCACAUGUAUAUAGAAAGUAAGUCAAUUUGAAAAUUUUCAACACUAACGCAAUAUUAAAUAAAAUUGAUUUUUAACUUCAUUUUACCAUUAUUUACGGGGUUACCAUAGGAAAAUUUAAUUUUUUAGUUAUUUUUAAAUGUAUGUUAAAUAUUAGCCGAUUUGAAAAUUUUGAAAUUUUCAUGUGGAAAUGGUCAAUUUUCAUAGGUUAACCCCUUUGGAAAUUGACANNNNNNNNNNNNNNNNNNNNNNNNNNNNNNNNNNNNNNNNNNNNNNNNNNNNNNNNNNNNNNNNNNNNNNNNNNNNNNNNNNNNNNNNNNNNNNNNNNNNNNNNNNNNNNNNNNNNNNNNNNNNNNNNNNNNNNNNNNNNNNNNNNNNNNNNNNNNNNNNNNNNNNNNNNNNNNNNNNNNNNNNNNNNNNNNNNNNNNNNNNNNNNNNNNNNNNNNNNNNNNNNNNNNNNNNNNNNNNNNNNNNNNNNNNNNNNNNNNNNNNNNNNNNNNNNNNNNNNNNNNNNNNUGAAAUUAAAAAAUAUUUUUUAAUAUAUUAAAAUAAUACCGAAUAAAUUUGAUUUUUAACCGAGUAAAUUUUUUGGGUUGGUAUGUUUUGUCGGCUGACAUGGGAAUGAAGACCCUAUCACUGUCACAACAAUACAAAGGAGUUAUGGUCUCAAAUAUAUAUGACCAUUUCAAUGGAAUUUAUUAAGCCGACAAUGUUAACAGUCACCGUUAAUGUUACAAACUCUGAAGACAGAAACAAAAGCCCAAGUUGAAACUGGAAGAAGAUAUGCGAUCAGAAGUCAGAGAUAACGUAGACUGGAGUGAUGUAAUACUGUCUACGAUAAGUUGGUUGGGAUGUCAACGUUUGAUUAUACAACUCUAUAAAGAUAACGUCACUUCCAUUUUUAGUUCAUCAACAAGUUUGAUCAGUUCUUUCUCGAUUUUUAUGUAUCGGGUUACUGAUAUAUCGAGUUGUGUGCUUCGAAUUAAUUAAUUAUUCUUAUAGAUGCUUAUGUAUGAGUGUUUCAAUCAAAUCAUUAUUGGAGACAUGGGUUGGUGGGGAUCAAUGUAACUUGGCGGAGUCAGUCACAAGGAAAGCAACGCCAUUUAGAGAACUCCGCGACUUUGCAUCAGUCGAUGACUGACCAAUGGCAAACUUAAAGACGCCAUAUAUAAAAAUAAAAUAAAAUUGGAGGUCGGUUAAUUAACUGUGACGAUUUAUGAGUGACUAGAGGAAAAACAGCCAUAUUCAAUAAUUUAGGAUUUGUAGAUUAGAGAAAAAUUCAAAAUUGGGUGGCUAUUUUUCAAUUAAAUAUGCAGAGUACUAUAGUUUAUAGAUUGCAAUGCAAAAGGACAAAACAGAAGGUCAAAAUCAAGCCCCCCCUCCACAAUCAAUCGUGAAGGCAAGUUGCAAAGCUUGGUUACAACAGUCACAAUCGUUGAGCUCAUUGCAAUAGCAUGGCGAUAAUGCCACUACAACCCAUCAUUUUUCCCAUAUAUGUAUUAGGUAACGUAUGAAAUUGGUGGGCAUACAUAACAAGGACCCGAUAUAUUCGAGCUAGAAAAAUUUAACGCGUGUCAAGUUCGAGCCUAUUCAAACCAGACGAGCCAAACUUGAGUUGAUUAACUCGUAACUUUCCUCAUUAAAACCUCACUCAUGAGUCCAAGUUAAAGUUAGAAAACUUUAACUCGUGUAGAGUUCGAGUCUAUUCAAGCCUGACUCGUUAACUAGUCUUGACGAGUCAAACUUGAGCUGAUUAACUCGUAACUUUCCUCAUUUAAACCUCCUCAAUGUGUCCAAUUUAAGCGGAAUUUAAAGUCUGUGCACUAAAAAAUGUCAUACGAGUCAAGCUAAAAAAUAAACUAUACUAAAAUUAAGUGUUUGUAAAAAAAAUUCCAAGUGUUUAUUAAUCUAAACAUGUUACAUUAUUAGAGUCUAUUAACGAGCCAUAUACUUUAUAUAGUAUUCUAUUUGGCUGUUGAGUUCGAUCGAUCCAGCUCACGAUCGAGCUUAUAUCAAAUCGAGAAUACCUUAGCUCAAACCUAACUCAUUUAAAAUUAAGCCGAAUCACAAACAAAAUUUUUCCUCGCCGAACGGCAAAUUGCUCGCAAAAAACCCUCAUAAAAAGGAAGAAAAAAAUAAAUUAAAAAGACAGCUAGAGAUUCACACUCAAUGAUCAUCAGCCAGCUGCUUGACUACCGUAGUUGACCGGCGUAUCACCAUCCCGCGUUGAAAUUUUAAAAUAACAAAAAAAACGUACAAAUCAUAUAUAUUUUUAUUAUUAUAAUUAUUUCAUGCAUGCAAACAUAAAAGGCGGGACCCAGAAUGCCACACCACCACUGAGUUUGACCCAAAAAAGUUGACCAAUUUCUUGACCGUCCGAUGAGGUUCAAUAAUGAUGGACCAACCCAUUAAUUCUCCCUCUUAAAAUUUUGUAUAACAUGUUACAAAUAUACGUAGCAUGCCCCCCUCCAAGUUGAUAGUCACACGUAUUUAACACACAGUUCCAUGACAUAAUCGGUCAACCAUAUAGUCUAAUCACAUGCACUCUUUUAAGUAUCUGGUCUGAUCGGUGACGAACCAAAUGCCUACGACUAUGACUAGUUGUAUGGAUUUUGAACGUCUAAUACUCUGAUCGAGAUAACGGAUACUCAUUACUCAUAUUGGACUCACUUGGGCUAAAGAUUAUCGAUCAGGUGAAAAGCAAGAGAUUAUUAUUGAGGUGAGGAAAGGUCAACAACACGAGCUAGCUGUUAAUGAGGACUUUGGUUCGUGUAGACUGUUGGGAUUGACUGUCCCUCUUGAACCCACCUGAUCAGUAUUUGGGUUUGCUUCCAAAGUAAACGACAACUCCCUUUGACUUGUAGAUGUGCUAUGAUUGCUUACGUGGACCAAUUAAUUAACCCGUUCGCCCCAUAUAUUUGGGAAUAUUAAAUAUAUGUAUUUAGGUCAUUUUAAAUAUAUGUAUUUAACCACAUUUGCACAUAUAUUUGUGUUUCAAUGUUUGAGAUAAAUACAUUUUUUUUAUGAAAAUUAUAGACAAUACCACCUCUCUUCAACCUCAAAAGGAUGAAUUUUUUUUUUACAAAUCAACGAGAUGAUUUAUUACUCAGUGCUCAAGCGAGUGGCAAUGACUGCUUAUAGUACAUCAUUGAGCCAGUUGGAAGGUGUAGAACCUACAGGCAGGUCUACAGGAAAAAUAGAUUGUCGUGCAAUAGCACGAGCAACCAAAUUUCGUUCUCUCCUUACAAAUUUAAAGUUAAAACUACCAACGUAAUGAAGUGGUCGCCUACAAGCUAAUAUAAUCACACCAAACUCGAUAUCAUCCACGUCGCUAUUUUGCAAAGCUGUUUAUCCAAUAAAAUUUCAGAAUGGCUAAGAAAUUUCAAAUGUCACUGAAAGUAUUCGAGCAACCAAUGAGAAAUUAACACUUCAUCAACACCAUGAACAUGAUAUACUCAAACUAAAAAGACAUGCAUGCUACAAUAUAAAAAGAGAGGAAUCAAAUGAAAAAGAAACGUCAAAUUGUUCUAAAGGACAACUUUGAAUUGAUAUGGUCCUCACUUAUUCCAUCGAUCAGGUGAAAAGCAAGAGAUUAUUAUUGAGGUGAGGAAAGGUCAACAACACGAGCUAGCUGUUAAUGAGGACUUUGGUUCGUGUAGACUGUUGGGAUUGACUGUCCCUCUUGAACCCACCUGAUCAGUAUUUGGGUUUGCUUCCAAAGUAAACGACAACUCCCUUUGACUUGUAGAUGUGCUAUGAUUGCUUACGUGGACCAAUUAAUUAACCCGUUCGCCCCAUAUAUUUGGGAAUAUUAAAUAUAUGUAUUUAGGUCAUUUUAAAUAUAUGUAUUUAACCACAUUUGCACAUAUAUUUGUGUUUCAAUGUUUGAGAUAAAUACAUUUUUUUUAUGAAAAUUAUAGACAAUACCACCUCUCUUCAACCUCAAAAGGAUGAAUUUUUUUUUUACAAAUCAACGAGAUGAUUUAUUACUCAGUGCUCAAGCGAGUGGCAAUGACUGCUUAUAGUACAUCAUUGAGCCAGUUGGAAGGUGUAGAACCUACAGGCAGGUCUACAGGAAAAAUAGAUUGUCGUGCAAUAGCACGAGCAACCAAAUUUCGUUCUCUCCUUACAAAUUUAAAGUUAAAACUACCAACGUAAUGAAGUGGUCGCCUACAAGCUAAUAUAAUCACACCAAACUCGAUAUCAUCCACGUCGCUAUUUUGCAAAGCUGUUUCCCCUUCAAACUAAACUCUGAUAAUAUCCCAAAUCGAUCACCCAUCUUAUAGCUUCAAGCAACGCCACAAAUUAUAUAUAUAUANNNNNNNNNNNNNNNNNNNNNNNNNNNNNNNNNNNNNNNNNNNNNNNNNNNNNNNNNNNNNNNNNNNNNNNNNNNNNNNNNNNNNNNNNNNNNNNNNNNNNNNNNNNNNNNNNNNNNNNNNNNNNNNNNNNNNNNNNNNNNNNAUUUUCAAUUUGUUCUUUUAUGUGGCGACUCCAAAUGAUUCUUUUCAUUCAAUGGAAACCUUGGCAAGCAAAACAAAUUCACUUUUUAGGCUUCAUCUCUAUUCUGGUCAUCAAAUUGUUGGGUUCGUCGCGUUGUAGUCAUCGACUUAUGAAAAGGUAACUUUUCUAUCACUAACCUCAUGUUGUGACCUCUUUGGCAUUUAGUCAACCUUUUAUAUAAAAUCUCAGUGCUUAAGUUGACAAAUCAUCAUACCAACUCAUCAUUUAUGUCUAUGUCACUCUUGCCAUGUUAAUUGUUAUGUAGUAUCCAUCAUGAAUUCAACUCAACCAACCAACCGACUAAAUCAACUCAACCCAAAUAUACCUCAUAUUUAAGUGAAUCAAGAUACACAAAAAAAUUAUGAUUGUUACUUGUCUAGCAUGAAAUGUGCGAGAUAUAUGUCACGUGACUUGAAUUGUAGAAUAACAUGCAAUCUUUAAUGGAAAUAUGAACAUAAAGAUUUGUUAACUCAGUUUUGCGAGAAGAGCAUGUAUGGUAGAGCUGUCAUACUAGCUAGGAAUAUCAACUAUUAUAUAUGAUGUGAUGAUGAAAAUUACAAUGAUUGAACCGAUCAACAACCAACCUACUAGAUCAAUUCUAAUCCUCUAUAAACAAAGGUCGACCUAUUGGUCAAACCAGUCAACACACACAUAAAAAGACUCGAUUGGAUCUAAUUAUCCAUAAGUAAUAUAAUUCAGUGCUUAGUUCAUCAGACUCCAUAAACCAAUAAUGUUCUUGGCGAAAUGAUGAGUUAUGGUAUGAUAACUUGUCAAUUCAAUGAAAUAUAAUUUUGGACAGAGAGUUGAGUAACUGAGCAGGGGUUACAACUACAAUAAGUAAAGUAGAAAUUAAAAUGUUACUUUUUACAAGUUUGUGACCAUAAUGGCUAUUAAGCCAAACAUUAGUGUUCGACGUAUAUGUACGUUGAGUUAAUUGUCUUUGACCACAACAACUGGGAUAAUCAAUGCAAUUAUUAUAUUAUGUGACAAAAAGACACAGACAUAAAUAUUUAGUAAUUAAUUUUGACUGCAGAAAUCAAAGAAAAUAUUUGUACUGGAUUUAAUUAUUUGCAAAAGGUGUCGGUUUUUCACAUCUCUUUGGUGGUGAAGUCACAGUCUAGAUGAGCAAUUUUGUCAAAUUUUGAUGCGGAUUUUCGGGUCAUAAUAUUUGUUUGUAACUUAUAUAAGUUAAAAAAUCGAAUUAUGUGUGACAUAUUUACAGUGAUUACCCGAAUGACUUCCGGCAUAAGAUCUGUAUUUUGGAGCUUAUGAGCAACUUUUUUAACAAAAUUGGGUGGUUGAAGUGAAUAUCCAAAGAAGAUAAUUAAGUUGUCAGUCUCCUUGCUCAUUAUGUGACACUCUUUUCCUUUUAGGAGAGUGCAUUAAAGUACUUUUUUUUGUAUGAGAUCAAUUAUAUUAAAUCGGAUAUAAUUGUAGGUUUUUGUGAUUUAACUAAUAGUUACGAAACUUCACAAUUUCGACUAAAUUUUUGUAUUUUCACUCCCAAAUUCCCAAUCAGCUGGUUCUUUCAAAAGAAAAAUUAAAAUAAUUUUUAUUUUUGAUUGGAUCCUCCACUUUGAAAGAGGGUAAAAGAAAAACAUGCUUAAAUUCAAAAGAAUUUCCACUGAAAAUAACCAUAUAACAUAACAUUAAAAAAAAUUGGGGAAAAUAUGAUUGUCUCAGAGCAAGUUGGCACAUGAAAUUGAAUGAAAAGGAAAUUAGUGGGGAGAUGGGAUUGGUGUUGAAGAUAAAUAAGAAUAUAAUUCUAUCUUAUUGGUACAAUGUAUGCAGAAUUUUAGGGGUUUUGGCCAGUUUUCACAAGUAUCUGAAUAUUAUUAAUUUAGUAAGACAAAGCUAGAACAAGAUGAUGAUCAUCACAGAAUUAAUGGGGUAAAGCUGCCAAGGAAAUCCAUGGAACUAAAGACAAAGAUCUUCGUGUUGUACACUGUGGAUAUGCUCUAACUCAAGCAUGGAAACUUGGCAACUAUAGCACACGUCCAUAUGGGUGCAAUAAUUUGAUGUCUAGGUUAAUAAGUUGGCUUAUCCAGUCUUGAUUCAUCCAUCGAAGUCACAUUAAUCGUUCAUAUUUUGGGAGUUUUUAUGGGAAUGAGGGAAGGAAACAAUCAUCUCGUCACAACAGAUGGUAACAAUGUUAACCACUCGUGAGGAAGAGAUCUCGCGGAGGCAUUACAGGCGGCCCAAUCAGCUCGGUGGUUUAGUUUCCGAGUAGCAUCCGAGAGGUCAAAGCUACAGUAGCCGCAUUACACCCCACUGAGAGACGGACGAGUUUCCAUUUAGGCACUUGACAAGGCUCAUGCAAUCCGACUAGAUAGUGAUUGUGGAGCUCAAAGAGGAGGCCAGAUCAACUGUGACUGAGAUAACUUUCGCUUCGAUGGUAAAUGGAGACGAACAGAGGAAUCUGAUAGCUCGGCCAUUUAGAACCUCAUCAUGGGCGCACAUCAGAAAUAAUAACACCAUAAACCAUCAUCUAGGAAUCAAUGAUUCGACAAUUAUGUGUUGAUUGAUGCAAUAAUUGGAUGUCGGUUGUUGGUUUAGUUUUUAGGUUUUGGUUCAGAAGUAUCAUAUAUAUGUUUAUGGGUACUAUGCCAGACUCGAAGCCAAAACCUCCAAACCACCAAUCUACAACUCUAUCACUAAAGUCUAAAGCAACUCCGCUUGACCAAAAUUAACGACAACAUGCUCCAUAAAUGCUCCAUAAGAUGGAAUCAAGAAUUCUAAGUGAGGCCACCUACCAACCGAGGAUGUUCACUUUAUUCCAAUUUGUUACAUCAUACACCCGACGAUUAGGCUCCCCGAUUAGCUGCAUAUACAAUAUUAAUUUAUUUAUAAUUUUAUCAUAAAGUUUCAAGUUGGAGAUUAAGACAUCAUAUUAAAUUAUAAUUUUAUGAGAUUUCGAGAGAUGUUGAAGAUUUUUGUGAGUGUGUGUGGAAGAACAUGCUAUAGUAACUAGUUUCAAUGUACAUGUGAGAUAUUUCUCCUCACUUAUGUCACUUAGGGACUUAAAAACUUAAUUAGGCCAUUAUAAUAUCCCGUGAAAUACUCAAAUCGUCAAGUAAGUUUGUACAUUUUAGUUCUGUAACUAUUAAGAAAUGUUGAUCAGUCCCAUUUUAUUUCGUCUGCAAUCAUGUUGUGGCCUAACGACAGAAAUUUCUACUAGAUUUGUUACGUAUACGCUGCCACGUCAGACUACAAUAAAGUAGAUAUUUUAAAUUGGGUUGAUUUGCUAGUCCGAACCAAACCGAAUAACACUUACCCACUCAAAUUGGAAGAACCCCCUUAACCCAUCUUUUCAUGGUUGCUCGGUUUUGGUGCUUCCCCGUCUAGGGUUUGGGGGGAUUGAUUGGUUUUUGUAGCAACUUUCAUAGAAUGUUGUGGAGAAUUGAACAUUAUGAUAGAAACACUUACCUCGUAUCAUUCCAGUUAGCACAUUAUUUUUUGUAGAAAUCUUGAUAUAAUAUUGUCGAUAUGUCAACAAACAUUCGAUAUAAUACUAGAUUUAGUAUAAAUUUCGAUUCAAAAUCCGCUCAUGAUCCAAAAUCCAUCGACAUGGUAAAUAGUGAUAAAUUUCAACACUUUUAUGGGUGGAAUAAUAUGUAAAUAUCUUGCAAGACUAAAACCUUCCAAGUAGAGAAUAAAAAAAAAUGGUUAGAAUCGUCAAAGAAAACUGCUGUGACCUAACACCUUUUUGACUCAGCUUUGUUAACCGUAGAUGUGUUGGUUGUACUUUGUGUCCUCGACCUAUGGCCUAAGUUCCAUUGAUGGGUGGGUUCAAGUAGGGAUGCCCACCAAACCGAUAUUCCGAGUAUUUCACUCUUUAUCGAUUCGAUUAUGAAAAUAUAUAUAACUAUCGUAUAUGAAAUAAUCAAAUGUUUGAGUUAUAUAAUUUAAUGUUAGUUUAUUAGUAAUUUAUAUAGUUUAAGUGUUUAAAAAAUGAUAUAAUUUCUUAAUUUUUUACUUUACAUUUUGGAGUUUUAACUUUAUUUGGCCAGAUUUACAGGGGUUAUUAUGGUGAAACUUAAUUUUUUAGCCAUUUUUAAUAUGUAGGUCAAAUAUUAGUCAAUUUGAAAAAAAUUAAAUUUCAUGUGAAAUUUGGUAAUUUUCGUGUGUUAUAACCCAUGAAAAUUGACAAUUUUGAUAUGAAAAAUAAAAAUUUUCAAUUCGGCUAAUAUUUGACCUAUAUGUUGAAAAUAACUAAAAAUUCAAGUUGAAAUCUAGAAUUUAGAAAAGGAAGAAGACAACGAGGAUUAUGAUACGUAUGUUUAUCUUUUGAAAAGAUAAUGGUGUGGUGUAUAUAUUUUCGGUAUGACGAUGAAUCUUUUGCCCCAUCAGGUGACAUACAUGCAAUUUGACCAAUUUGGACUAGCAGAACACGAAAAAUCUUACCCUCGUGCUAUUUUGGUAAAUUUUCCACCGUUAUCGAGCUCGAGCUUUCAAACCGAACAGAACCGAGUUCAAGCACACAAAUAUCGGUCGAGCCAAGAGCUCGAGAGGGGUAAAACUCGACUCGGCUUGUAAUCAUCAACAGCUGUGUGUGGAUUACGAUUAAUAAUUGAAGCAAAUUGGGGAGGGGAUCUCAUGAGAUUAGGAGAUGCUUACAAAAAAACAAUAAUGAGUGCAUAAAGAAUACUGUUCCUCUCCAUCUACGUACACACAUUAUAUUAUAUAAAAUAAAUAGAUAGAUACCCUAAAGGCUAGCAAUUCCAACUCAUUUUGCGAUUCCUAAUUUCCCAAUCAAUCAAAACCCUAAUUUUUUUCUGCCCCCAAAUUAUUGAUUCUCAGUUUCGUUAGUGAGUCAGUCAAAUUACAACUCUAAAGAGUAAAUUCCAUCCGUAGAUUGAUAUAUCGCCAGAAAGUUGAUCUUUGUCAUGUCUAUAUCAAAACCUACUUAUGUGGGGGGAACUUAGAAUAUAUAGUUGGCGAUUAAUUGGAAUUAUACGGUAGAUCGAGUCGUUGAUAUUGUUCAUUGAAAAAUUCGUGAAAUAACACUUAAAAAAUUAUCGUGUUUUCGUCUCUAAAAACGGAUUUAGGGAUGAAUCAAGAUUGCACACGACGUACACACACUUACGCAUCAAUUCGAUCGACUGCAAUGUGAGAAUCAGUUCAAUUGUCUUGAUUCCUUAUGUUUGCUAUUGAUACAAAUAAGAGGAGUCGCUAACUAAUUAGGGUUUGUGGUAGGCUAGGAACAGAGUUGGUUAACUAAUUAGAUGAACAAAUAGAUAACAUGAAAGCCAAACUCUAGGGCUAAUGUUUUCCAUAAGUAUUGAAACACUUCAUUUUAGCAUCUGAUUCAUGUUGUCUUCUCCUUGUUUUGGUUGUUUGGCGUUAGUAACUAAUUUGCAACGUUUUCAAAAUCGAACCGGAUAAACGAAAGAGCCGAAUAUCAAAGGUUUAAAUCAAGUUAGAGUGAUAUGGGUUUUUUUACGUGCAUUGUGACUGUUUUUAAUCUGAUGUCUUCAAAUCGUCAAGACACUAAUCUCAUCUCAAAUAACUUUGUCCGAGUGGGAUAGUUUGGUAGAGCUGUAUGAUUGGUAAUUACCUAGAGGUUCGGGGUUCGAAUCCAGCCAUACCACACAUGGACACCGAAAUAAUUGCUUCUCUUGGUUCUUUCUUGCUGAGUGAAUCUAUCAACCUUGUGUUGCCUCAAGGUUCUCCUAUAUCAGGCCUUGUGUUGAUUCAGAUUCUCUGGUACGGGAUUGUCCCAACCAACAUGACUUAUUACUAAGUGUUUUCGGUGGGGAUUUGACAUGUAGAUAUUGAGAAGACGUGAAUCUUACGUGUUAAGACCGAUCUCACCGUUUACCCAACCAGAACUAUAAUUUUGGCCGUAUAUAUAAAAAUUAUUUAUUGCCCUCAAACAGUUGGGCAAACAUUUGUCAUGUUUCUACAGGAAAUAAUUCAAAAUGGUUGGAGUUAUUAGAAUAGAGUGGAUGAAUAUUUUUGCAAGACAUGAAUGACUAAAUAAUUUAAUAAUAGUAAAACCCUUUACUAUUCUAUAUUAUUAAAUCUUGAAAUUAUCAAUACCUGCCAUGCAAUUAUUUAACUUCUCGAGGGGCCAAAAUGCACUAUUUUAGUUUAUUUAUUAUAUUUGUUACAGUCCUGUUAAACGUUACACUCCUUUAGGUUUCUCUUUACCAUGUCAUGAUGUAUCACAAUUAAUAUUAAUUUCUCUAGGAUUGGAAAAUAAUGUACCACCUUCAAAAAGGAGUAUAUGCUAUAUUAUUGUCUUACAAAAAUACUAAUUAUGGUACGUUAUAACUGUAUUUUUUUACGUUACUCUAAGAUAUGGGAAAUCUGUACUAAUUUUUGGGAUUUUUUAGACAUUAACAUGUGUUUAAUAUUUGAUAUUCGAUUAUCAUAUUAUUCUUUUUUAACGCUAGACAAGAUAAGUAUGUCACUAAAAAAUAUAUUGGUAUUCAUUUUUUUAAAAUUUUAUAACAUUGGUAUUCAUAUCGAAUGUAAACGAAUUUUACUUAUGUAUUAUAAAUAUAAUAUAAGUGGUCAUAUACANNNNNNNNNNNNNNNNNNNNNNNNNNNNNNNNNNNNNNNNNNNNNNNNNNNNNNNNNNNNNNNNNNNNNNNNNNNNNNNNNNNNNNNNNNNNNNNNNNNNNNNNNNNNNNNNNNNNNNNNNNNNNNNNNNNNNNNNNNNNNNNNNNNNNNNNNNNNNNNNNNNNNNNNNNNNNNNNNNNNNNNNNNNNNNNNNNNNNNNNNNNNNNNNNNNNNNNNNNNNNNNNNNNNNNNNNNNNNNNNNNNNNNAUGCACAAAAACCCCACUUGAGGACUCUUUUUUUCUUCUAAAAAUUAGUUAAAUAAUAAUCAUUAUUUAUAAUGAAAUAUAAUGAUAAUGAAAAUAUAAAAUUGAAAGAUAGAGGAAGGGAACCCAAUUCUCCUGCAACAACGAUGGGAGGAGCAUGAACAGACGUGGGAAUCUUAAUUAUUUAUUAUCAAUUUUGUAUGUAGAGGUAGUCNNNNNNNNNNNNNNNNNNNNNNNNNNNNNNNNNNNNNNNNNNNNNNNNNNNNNNNNNNNNNNNNNNNNNNNNNNNNNNNNNNNNNNNNNNNNNNNNNNNNNNNNNNNNNNNNNNNNNNNNNNNNNNNNNNNNNNNNNNNNNNNNNNNNNNNNNNNNNNNNNNNNNNNNNNNNNNNNNNNNNNNNNNNNNNNNNNNNNNNNNNNNNNNNNNNNNNNNNNNNNNNNNNNNNNNNNNNNNNNNNNNNNNNNNNNNNNNNNNNNNNNNNNNNNNNNNNNNNNNNNNNNNNNNNNNNNNNNNNNNNNNNNNNNNNNNNNNNNNNNNNNNNNNNNNNNNNNNNNNNNNNNNNNNNNNNNNNNNNNNNNNNNNNNNNNNNNNNNNNNNNNNNNNNNNNNNNNNNNNNNNNNNNNNNNNNNNNNNNNNNNNNNNNNNNNNNNNNNNNNNNNNNNNNNNNNNNNNNNNNNNNNNNNNNNNNNNNNNNNNNNNNNNNNNNNNNNNNNNNNNNNNNNNNNNNNNNNNNNNNNNNNNNNNNNNNNNNNNNNNNNNNNNNNNNNNNNNNNNNNNNNNNNNNNNNNNNNNNNNNNNNNNNNNNNNNNNNNNNNNNNNNNNNNNNNNNNNNNNNNNNNNNNNNNNNNNNNNNNNNNNNNNNNNNNNNNNNNNNNNNNNNNNNNNNNNNNNNNNNNNNNNNNNNNNNNNNNNNNNNNNNNNNNNNNNNNNNNNNNNNNNNNNNNNNNNNNNNNNNNNNNNNNNNNNNNNNNNNNNNNNNNNNNNNNNNNNNNNNNNNNNNNNNNNNNNNNNNNNNNNNNNNNNNNNNNNNNNNNNNNNNNNNNNNNNNNNNNNNNNNNNNNNNNNNNNNNNNNNNNNNNNNNNNNNNNNNNNNNNNNNNNNNNNNNNNNNNNNNNNNNNNNNNNNNNNNNNNNNNNNNNNNNNNNNNNNNNNNNNNNNNNNNNNNNNNNNNNNNNNNNNNNNNNNNNNNNNNNNNNNNNNNNNNNNNNNNNNNNNNNNNNNNNNNNNNNNNNNNNNNNNNNNNNNNNNNNNNNNNNNNNNNNNNNNNNNNNNNNNNNNNNNNNNNNNNNNNNNNNNNNNNNNNNNNNNNNNNNNNNNNNNNNNNNNNNNNNNNNNNNNNNNNNNNNNNNNNNNNNNNNNNNNNNNNNNNNNNNNNNNNNNNNNNNNNNNNNNNNNNNNNNNNNNNNNNNNNNNNNNNNNNNNNNNNNNNNNNNNNNNNNNNNNNNNNNNNNNNNNNNNNNNNNNNNNNNNNNNNNNNNNNNNNNNNNNNNNNNNNNNNNNNNNNNNNNNNNNNNNNNNNNNNNNNNNNNNNNNNNNNNNNNNNNNNNNNNNNNNNNNNNNNNNNNNNNNNNNNNNNNNNNNNNNNUAUUCUUGUCUUCAUAAGAAUUGUAAUUAUGAAAUUCAUUAUUCGUCUAAGUUUUUAUCGUUCAAUAUAACAUUUUUUCUUAUAGAUUCUUUUCUUAAAAACACUAGUUUAUGUAUAUUUCUCGAUUAUAGAUUCGCCCUGUGCUAGCUCUAAAAUUUUGUUGUUCAAUAUAACAUCUUUUCAUUUAGACCCUUUUCUUAAAAACACUAAUUUUGGUAUAUUUUUCGACUAUAAAUUGGCCCGCUAAAAUUAUUAAAGAAGAAAAAUGUCCUAUAAUAUGUUUUUUCAUAAGAAUGAAAUUACAAGUUGACAUGUAUUUUAGUAUUUACAUGUAUCAAAAUAUGAAAAUUCAUAAUUUUUUUAUAUGGGUUUUAAGUUUUAACCAAAAUAACCAAACCGAUAAGAUCGGACUUAAAAUAACCAGAGUCGAGUCGAAUUAGUGGGCGCGGUGGUGGGAUCCGCCUCCGGCCAAAAACGUAUUAAUGGCCGUUCGCCGUUGACAAAACUUUCAACCUCCAUUUAUUUUUUUUCCUCAGCUUCAUAAAGCUCCCACGUGCCUUAGCUAAUCAAACCUUCUUCUUCUUCUUCUUCUUCUCUUUCUCUAUAUAAACUCCUCUCCUUCACUUCCCUUUCACUUAUCCCUCUCCUCCUCACAUCUCUCACUAAUUUCCCCUUACUCUGUUUUUUCCUCCCUCGCCGGGAAACUAAAACAAAGAUGGUGGCUGACAACGGCGAACUCCCUUACCUCCGCCACGAACACGCCGCCCUCGACAUCUCCAUGGACACCGCCUCCCACAUGGCUGGAAAGUGCUUUGACGAUGACGGCCGCCCCAAGCGAACCGGUACCUUCGAAAUUCCAUUGCUUGCUCUGUUUCUUAAGCUCCUCUGUUUCUGAAAAUGGAUGGUUUUGUUAAUUUUAUCUUUCUGGGGGACUAAACAGGAACUUUGUGGACGGCGAGUGCUCACGUUAUAACAGCCGUUAUCGGCUCGGGUGUUCUGUCCUUGGCUUGGUCGACUGCUCAGCUCGGUUGGAUUGCUGGUCCGACCGUUCUGUUCUUGUUUUCGUUCGUUACAUACUACACCUCGACUCUGCUGGCUGCGUGCUACCGUACAGGAGAUCCAGACACCGGCAAGCGAAACUAUACUUACAUGGACGCCGUCCAGUCCACUUUGGGUACGAGAAAAAAUAUCCACCACAUCCUGAAUUUCAUCCAAUUUUUUCGACAAAAAAUUUGACUAAAAUGUUUGUUAUUGUAUUAUAAUCAGGUGGCUUCUAUGUGAAGGUUUGUGGAUAUGUUCAGUACAUAAAUCUGUUCGGUGUUGCAAUCGGCUACACAAUUGCUUCGUCCAUUAGUAUGAUGUAAGUCCGGCUCGAAUAUCGGUUUAACCGGUUAAUCAGUCGUUCAAUUCUUGACUGAUUUUUUAAAAUUGUGCCCGAUCAUUUUCAGGGCGGUGAAGAGGUCCAACUGUUUCCACCGAAGCCACGGCACCGAUCCGUGCCACAUGAACGCGAAUCCGUACAUGGUGGCGUUCGGAGUAGCGGAGAUUCUUCUGUCGCAGAUUCCGGACUUCGACCAGCUGUCGUGGCUUUCAAUCGUGGCUGCCGUGAUGUCGUUCACUUACUCCUCGAUCGGACUGGGACUCGGCAUCGGGAAAGUGAUCGGGAACAAAGAAAUUAAAGGGAGUCUCACCGGAAUUGGGCUCGACGUCGUUACUCCGACCGACAAGGUGUGGCGGAGCUUCCAGGCACUCGGUGGAAUCGCCUUUGCUUACUCCUUCUCCAACAUCUUGAUUGAAAUUCAGGUACCAAGUUGUAAUUAUCCACUAAAACUAAUUAACCAAAUGGCUCGGUUUUAGAGUGGACCAUUUGGUUACGAGUAAUGGUUGGUUAACCUAAAAUAAUUUAGUUGUGUUAAUCGGUUAAAGAUUUGGAAUACUUUUAACAAAAACAAAAUUUUAACUGACUUUUUCAUAUUUAUAUAUAUUUUAACCGAUACUGACUAUAAUUAACCGAUCAUCAUUAUAUAGGCCGAUUAUUCAAUUAACCCCAUAGUCGGUGAUUAAUUGUCAACCGGCUCUUAGCCUCUUAUGUUUCCUUUUCCAACUUUCUAAUCGAAAAGAGUAGAAAAACUUACCUGACUCUGUCUAAUCCUAACCUCAAUCAACUAAAAAACCGUCUGAAAAAAGUUUUUAAAACCCACAAACUAAGUGAACCGUCAAUAAAUAUAUAAUUCAGUCCAUUUAUGAUCCUUAGUACCCAUUAUUAGUAACCAACUAACCCAACCCGUAACCGAUCUAACCACCCUGUUUGAUAGAUUCAGUUAGACACUAAAUUGUAAUUAUUUCAAAACAUCAGGUACUAAGUUGCAACUUUUUACUGAAACUAAAUGCUCUAUUUUUUCCAUCCUCUGUUUUUUCACAGGACACGAUCAAAUCGCCGCCGUCGGAAUCAAAGACGAUGAAGAAAGCAUCCUUAAUCAGCAUCUCCGUAACAACCUUCUUCUACAUGCUCUGCGGAUGCUUCGGCUAUGCAGCCUUCGGCGACUCAUCCCCAGGAAACCUUCUUACCGGUUUCGGAUUCUACAACCCGUACUGGCUGCUCGACAUCGCCAACGUCGCCAUAGUCAUCCACCUCGUCGGAGCAUACCAAGUCUUCUGCCAGCCCAUCUACGCCUUCGUGGAGAAGAUAGCCAAGAACAAGUUCCCCGACAGCACCUUCAUCACCAAGGAAAUCCGUAUCGGAAAUUACAAUCUCAACCUAUUCCGGCUAAUCUGGAGGACACUCUUCGUGAUCACCACCACCGUGAUCUCGAUGAUGCUCCCGUUCUUCAACUCCAUCGUCGGACUCCUGGGAGCUUUCGGAUUCUGGCCGCUGACCGUUUUCUUCCCGGUGGAGAUGUACAUUUCUCAGAAGAAGAUCCCCAAGUGGAGCACGAGGUGGGUCUCGCUCGAGAUCUUGAGUAUCGCGUGCUUGAUUAUAUCGAUCUGCGCCGCCGCUGGGUCGAUCGCCGAGAUCGUCGUGGAGUUGAAGUCUGUGAAGCUGUUCCACAUGAAGUACUAGAGAGAAUCAAAGAGAGUCACAAAAAUACGAAACACGGUGCCGGUUCAAACCCAACAAUGUUCAUAUCAUUUUAAGAAGUUGAUUAUCUUUUUUAUUUUUAAUUAUCAAUUAGGUUGUAUUAUGUUUGACGAUUUGGCAUAAGAUUAUAAUUAAGAAGGAGAGACAGAGUAACCAUGUUCUGUGGUUAGUAAGAAGGGUAAGAUUGGAAAUUCAGGUUGUGGGACCGACCUUCUCUGCUGGACUAAUCAAAAGCUUCCACAUUUUAACCAUCGCAGCUGUGUAUUAAAUUUCUUUCAAUGCAAAUUGUUGAGAGAGAUUCUAUUUAUGAUUCUGUGUUUGACUGAAAUGUUGACUCUCCACUGACAUUGAUUCCUGUCUAGUCAAAGGCGGAAAUAUUAAAUUAUCUUCUUUCGCGUUAGUCAAGUAAUUCGCUGCAUGAUUGAUUUUUCGAUAAAUCUGUUUAGUUAUGUAUAUUGAAUUGGGUGCACUUGUAUAAAAUAGUUAUAGUUAAAAAGAAAAGAAUAUUUUAGGAUAGUCAACUUAGGUCUCGAAUUUCUUUAGCUAGGUAGGAAUACUAGUAAGAUGCGGGUGUCAAGUGCCAACCACGAUGAUAAGCGACACACCUUCGCACGAAGACCUAUCUCUGAAACAGAAUUACAGAAUCAGAUGGCAAACAAGUAACGUAUCAAUUGCCAUUGAAUACCAUAACUCUUGAAGAUGAGUUGAACACAGUACUGAUGUUAUGAUCAGAAUAGUUUGAACUCCUUGUUAUUGAAUUAUUAGAAGUCAUUCGGUUAGAAGGUCAUUCGGUGACACGCUCGAAAUCAGCUCGUGACAACUGAUCAGCAGUCUAUCAGCUGAUGAGUGACACUUGACGCUCAUGCCCCCCAUUGAUGCUUUAAACUGAUCGAUUCUGGCAAAAUACAACUAAGCCAUAUUCAAUACACUCGCCAGGAGAAAGACAGAGCUUCCUCGUUGUGAUAAAUUUAAAUAAACAAAAGAAAGAAAGAACUCUGCUGCAUUACUCUGCAGCACCAUGGCCCUUUGCCCUAUUUCCCAUAAUCAAUAGGGUUCUCUUUCUUUUUUCUGUAUGCCAACUCUGCUCCUUCACCAUAAAUGUUGCAGUGAAAUUUGCUAUCUGAUACGUUACUCAAGGGACAAAUUUGCCAAAACUUACCUUAAGAAGGGUUUGUCAGGGCUUCAUCAGGAUGGCCCGGGAGGACAACAUCAUGUUAACAUAUUGUUCAUGUUAAUAAGUACUUGGUACCAAACAAGUAGUUCAAUAUGGUGUCUCUUAGUACUGCUGGAAUCUUCUUGCACAUAUAGGACAGGAAAGGAAGGGCAAGUACUAGUACUCUUUUGUAAGCCCUUUCACUAGCCAAUAUAUAUGCAAAUUGUGCAUUAUUAUGCAGCUUCACUAGUUCCAUGCAAGUUGGAAAAAGGGGGGGUUGUAUAUGAUUGAUUUCAUAUACACCAAUUCUGAUCUCUUCUUCCUUCAUGAACAAAAUCUGACCCCAUGAUCUGGCUUUUUGAUUCGAUUGGCAUCAUGGGGGGUUUUUGUCAGUUUGUGGUGGUAUCAUCAUCAUGGGUCCAAAUCCAAAUGAUCACUCUAGAUCAUCCCUUUGCCCAAAUGAGGGCUUCAUAUUCAUCGUGGUUGUCGAUUUAUUACGUUUGUAAUAACGUGGUCAUCAGGUUUUAAAAUCUAACAUACGUAUCUCUAGCUUUUUGUACUUGUAAUAGUGUGGUCACUCAGUUAACCCUCGAACAAAAAACUCCAUUACGUUGAUUCACAAUUUAUAUCUAUGUCACCCUUGGUCCAAGUGGAGUUGCUCUAGUGGUAGAGUUCUGUAUUAGUGGUAUGGAGGUUUUGGGUUCUAAUCCAGUAUACCCCAUGAAAUAAACACCUUUUGUAAUGUUUACUUAUACUUUCUAUCUUAUAUUGCACAAAAGAUAUCUACCCGACAAAAAAAGUCCAUGUCACCCCAUGCAUUAUAUGUCAUAUUAAUAAUUUAAACUCAACUCAUUCGACCCGUCCAAAACUUAACGUACCACCUGAAACAAACCAACCAAAACUAAUUAACUCAACUCACUUUAAUCCGAAUAGGCGACAUGCAUGCUAGCGGGUGAUGUUGGCAACGGUAUUUAGUUGGUAUGGUGAUUUGUCAACUCUAUGAUGUUUUUUGGGGGGGGGGGGAGUUUAUGGAAUGACCAUAUUGUCAUAAAUGUAAAAGGUUAGUGGUAUGUAGGUUACAUUUUAAAGGCUGAUGAGUAUGUUGUUACAAACCAAAUAAAUUGAUGACCACAAUGGAUAUUGAGCAGCCAAAUGAGUGUUUGAGGCUAUUGAAUAAGAUUAUCUAAGGGGAUCUUUGUUGUUUGGUCUAUACUAGUUAGUUAGUCCCUACCAUGUGACCAUGACUCAAUUUAUUCAAUUAGGGAUAUUUCCUCAUGACGGGGAAGUUUAUGGUCUAGCUUACACGACUCCAUGGUGUGGUUGUCAUGAUUCGGUUCUUCUCGACGUUAAAUUAGUGAUAAUAUAAUGACGAAACUAGUUAGAUUAAGAGUUCAAAUGUUUAAUGAUACAAUCAGGGUCAGAUAGUUAGUGUUUUGAAGUCGUCAAUAAUGUCGUUUUAAUUAGAAAAUAAAUAAUGUUAAGUUGGAUAUGAAAAUUUUAAUUCAAUGGAGAACAGUAUCACAUCACAUUGUAACCUAACCACGGCAUAGAUUAAGUAACAACGUUUAAAUUGUUGUGUUGCACGUAGGUAGACUCACACUAUUUGAAUGUCCACUACUUGAAGUACAUUGUUCUCUUUUUCUAGUUUAUUUCUUUCACGACAUCAACUAAUAAUGAAUUUCGAUCCACCCCUCGUUUCGAUCCUGAUCAAUUUCGCUACUACCUAGCAACCAAAAAAUAACUAGUACUAGCUAGCAAAACCAUCCAUCAAAAUUGUACAUGGUUUCUCUCUUUAUUUGUUAGGCACAUGUUCAAUGGUCCAUGUUAAACCAUAGAUUUUGCCACAAUAGUGGGCAUCGAAUUUGUUAGGACCAUUGGAAGUGCAAAAUUAGACCCCACAUUAACAAAAACCCAAUAGAAAGAAACCUUUCCUUUUUCCCCUUUGCUUUUGAUCUUUGAAGUUAGAACCAACCAAACCUUACCAUCCCAUCCAUCAAAUCUUUGUGGAAAAACCUAAGAUACUAUUUAGGGUUUGAAAGGUCAUGAGAUAAGAAGCAAGAUGUUAUAAUUUCACAAAAAAAUUGAAGCACAUAUGUUAAAAAGGAGAAAAGGUGAUGAUGAUAGACGGUAAUGGCCUAUUCAGUGGUGAACAAUCGUAUUAGUUAUGUUUAAAUCAGUUAUUUCUUGUUGAGCAGUUUGUAUCAUUUAGAAUAUGAGUUAUCAUAUGUUAUUAUGAAUUUUAUACAAUCGAGCCUUAAUACCAUUAUUAUAGAUAUACUCUAAAUAAUAUGAAUGAAUUCUCCGUUCUAAAUUACCACUUCAUUGAAAUGUCUCGAUGGAAAGGAAAGAAAUUGGUGUUUUGACUAUUAAAGGACCACGACUCCAUGCAGGGCUUGAUUGCAAGACCUUGAUCCUUCUUCAAUGAAAUAAGCAUAGGAUGGAGUAAAAAAAAUGAAUUCGAACUCAACCUCAUAAAUGUCGUAAUUUAUUACAAAAUUUAACUUUUUUUUCGGACUAAAGACUUGUCCGAUUUUAGAUUUUGAUAAAUAUAUAUAUAAAAGGUUGGUCUAAAAAGUUUUGUGGGUUGCUUUAUAAGAGAAUCUUUGGAGACCCUCUAAAUUUGACAUUAGUGGAUGAAUAUUGACUAGUAAGGUUUUGGAAAAGUAGAAAAGAUGGUUUCCUCAAACAAAGCACAAAGAGGGGAAAUUGGUGAUGAUGAUCAAACAAUAUAUGAUGUCUGUGGGGGGAGGACAAUUGAUCUUUGUGUGGGAUCUCAUCCACUUUUGUUACUUGGUUGAGAGUUGAUACUAGGUUUGGCAAAUAAGGGGGAUAAUUUAUCGAUCGGUUUUAAUCGAAAGAAGCAACUUGUUAAAAGGGUAUAUAGUGACUAUUUUGCUAUUGUUGAAUAUAAACAAGGUAAGGAUAUUUGGAUUCGACUCAAAUAUUCCCGAGUCGCCAACAAACGAUGCAAUUAAGUACGCUACUUUACGGAGACACGGAAUAGUACUUACAAAACAAUGAAUAAGAGAUCGGUUCAGUGAUUAUGUUUCCAUUCCUUCUUCAAAUAAAUGUUGAGAACCAAACCAAUAUCAUCUACUAAUCUAAUACACCAUCAUCAAUCAAACCCUUUCAGGUGAGAAAGGAAUCAAAUUGACUGUGGUUUUAAGUAAUAAUUCAUCCAAAAAAUCCAAAUUAGUCAGAAUCUGACAACAUCAACUUUGGAAAAAUUUGGAAAACUUUUCCUAAUCAGACCACAGACAUUCUCCAUAUAUUAAUAAUCCAAAAGCUUUGGGAACCAAUGAAAAUGACAAUUCAUAAACCAAGUCAAGAACCCUCUAAUUUUCAUCUCUGUUUCUGCAAACUCUACCAAUACUUGGAAAUAGAUUAUUAGUUUUGAAAUUUCAAAGUUUCAACCCCUAGACAUCUCAUCAAUUUUGAGAGGUUAAAAUAUUAUUUUGCCCAAAAAAUUAAUCACAAAUCAUCUUUGAAUUUCCUAUCCAAAUAUCUGUUAAUCUACGCCGGAACAACCCCAAAUUUACAAGGGUAUAAUUGAUCGGUUUGAUAGGUGUGGUGGACCAAUAAGUGGUUAUGUGAUGGACAUCAGGUUGAUUAGUCGAACGAUAUUUUUAUGUGCAUCCUGGUCUCUUAGUCGUAUAAAGGAGCUAAUUUUGAGGAUUGACUUAAGAGGGGUAAACAUGGCAAGAUGAGAGUGUGAAAUAGAAAAGUGCGUAUCAAAGGUGGCCUGAAGGCAUGUAUCGCCUAAUGUGAUUGGCUUAUUAGAGACGUCCGACCUUAAGAAUUUUCGAUAGGUUAAUAAUGUGUUUCCCGUCAUAAAUGAAGGAUUAUUUUUUUAAUAAUUUUAUGGAAGUUCAGAGUCAACAUGUCAUUAACUAAUUUGUGACCUGAUUGACGUUGAAUUUGAACCGUUGAAUUGAGAUCAGCACUAGGAUUAAGGGCCGAAACAUGAUCCCCACAGGUUCCUGAUUGGGCCUUUGCGCCUUGAGCCCGCUCUACGAGGGCUUGUCUGUUUAACUUUGGGCCAAGCAUUUUUCGAUGAGCUCAUAUAUGAAUUUAACGGGGGAGAUGGCCCAAUGUGGUCUAAGCCCAACCGGCUAGGAAAACUGGAAAUCGAAACGAUGUCGUAUUCAAUUUUCACCCCUGUGUUAACACUGUAUUCAGCUCAUCGUAUCUCCCCUUCGCCUUGCUCCUCACCUCUGGUUCCGAUUUCUCCACGCUCUCUCUAACUUCACUGCUUCCCUCCGAUAACCUCCUUCCUCUUCACCGUCGGGGAAGGUAGUAGGUUCUCCUUCCAGCUCUAUUCAUCCAUACCCCCGAGCUUCCACUUCCGUUAAUACAGGUAUUCUUCGUUUCAUUCACUCUAAUCCAUUUUUUUAGCUGUGUAAUUUGAAAUUUUUAUAAAAGUUUUCGUCUUCACUUCACUAGACAGCUAUUCGAUCGGAGAAGUAGCCAAUGGCGUUGUCAAUCGCACAACUUACUUUCUUCUCCAGAGCAGCAUCAGCAUCAGCAUCAACUUCCUCCUCCUUUCUACCUCGAACGAAUGGAGGCUUCAAUCGCUUCAUUUUCUCCGUGCCUUUCUCCGGAGCUGCUGCUGUCUCCACCGGGAAAACAAGUUGGAGAGCUCCUGCCUCGUCCUCGAUUCUGGAGCUCGGUGGAGUCAAGAUUUCUAGAGACGGUACGUUUCAUUGGCUUUCCAUUUUGAUUUAGCUCUUCAAUUCUGACUGCUGGUUUAUGGAUAUCUUGAAUUGCAGAUGUGGUGAGGGAUGAUGAUCCUACCAACAAUGUGCCGGAUUCAAUCUUCUCGAAGCUCGGUAUGCAGCUCCACAAGAGGAACAAGCACCCGUUGGGAAUUCUGAAGAAUGCGAUUUAUGAGUAUUUCGAUGCGAAUUACUCGAACAAGUUUGAUAAGUUUGAUGACCUGUGCCCUCUCGUGACUGUUAAGCAGGUUUAUAAUAUUUCUAAGGCUGUGAAGCUGGUUUCCAUUUUGAAAUUUGAGUAGCGUUGCAAUGCUAGUAAUGAACAUUGAACAGUGAUCUUGUGUUAUAUCUCACAGAAUUUCGAUGAUGUUCUGGUUCCUGCUGACCAUGUCUCCCGAAGGUAUAACGAUACUUAUUAUGUUGAUUCGCAAACUGUAUUGAGGUGUCACACCAGUGCUCAUCAAGCUGAGCUGUUGAGGAAUGGGCACACGCAUUUCCUUGUGACUGGUGAUGUUUACCGUAGAGAUUCUAUUGAUUCGACUCACUAUCCUGUAUUUCAUCAGGUUUUUGUGGCUAAUGGUUUCUGGUUUUUUCAUUUAUAUCAUUAUAUGUUCUCCAAGUUUGUUCUUUACAGUUGACGAGUGUUACAUAGAUUCUUCUGAAAUGCAGAUGGAAGGCUUUCGUGUGUUCUCUCCUGAAGACUGGGAAGCAUCAGGUUCUGAUGGCACGUCUUAUGCUGCAGAGGAUUUGAAGAAAUGCCUUGAGGGGCUAGCCGUUCACUUAUUUGGUAAAGCAUUUGUUACCUACUUCAUGAUAAACAUUUGUGACGAAUUCUAUAAACAAAACCCAUAUAAUUGUGUUUCAGCUUGUGAUUAGUCUAUUUGACAUAUAUCUAGUAAGACGGUGGGAAUCUUACCUGUGAUUGCUCAUUUACAUUACGGAUUAUUUUAUGUAUAGUUCAGGUUCAUUGUUUUUUAUGUUCUUUGCUUACUUUCUGUUUUUUCCAUCUGUUGAACUAUAUAUGUUCAUUUGUUAAUGAUAGGUGCUGUGGAGAUGCGUUGGAUUGAUGCGUACUUCCCUUUCACAAAUCCAUCUUUUGAACUCGAGAUAUAUUUUCAGGUAAGUUUUCGCUUCCACAUUAUGAGAUUGGUUUCCUGAUGCUCCAUAGAAGAACAAUUAGUGUGGAGGAAUCAAAGUCCAGCACUAUCCUUAAGCAAUAGAUUCAGAUUGAAGUCAGCUCCUUUUUUAAGGGACAGAAAUAAUGAUAAUUUGAGCUUUCUGAGUUUUCAAAUCCGUUUAAAAGGCAAGAAAAUCCCUAGAUAGUGAAGAACAAUUUGGCAUUACUAAACUUGUAUACUGUAUCUAACCACAUAGAUUGCCAAUGUUUUUGCAGGAGAAAUGGAUGGAAGUUCUAGGCUGCGGGGUCACUGAACAAGUUAUUUUAAGGGAUAAUGGCCAACCCGGUAAAGUUGCUUGGGCAUUUGGACUUGGAUUGGAGCGACUGGCAAUGGUUUUGUUUGACAUACCUGAUAUCCGGCUUUUCUGGUCGAGUGAUGACCGGUUUAAUUCUCAGGUAGGUUCCGAACUAUCAAGUGGAUUUAACCACUAUAUUAUUCGGUCUAUUUAUGCACAUAUAUAGAGUCUGUCUGACGACAUCUAAGCUCUUCCUACCCAGUUUGUUAAAGGCCAGAUGGGCAUCAAAUUCAAGCCAUUCUCAAAGGUGAAUGUUGCAUUUUUUCAAUAGCUUCCUCUUGAUAUUGAAUAUUUCAGUUGAAUUGACAUGCUGAAGAAUGAAAAUGUGCUUUCCAGUACCCUCCAUGUUACAAAGACAUGAGCUUUUGGAUCAACGAUUCGUUCACCGAAAACAAUUUAUGUGAAGUUGUCAGAGGAGUGGCUGGGGAUCUUGCUGAGGAGGUAUUUACAGAACGUCUUCUCUUAGUUCUUCUAACUAUACUGGCACUUACCACUUAUAUGCCGAUUUUACUUGCAACAGGUGCAGUUGAUAGACAAUUUUACCAACAAGAAGGGAAUGACGAGUCAUUGCUAUCGGAUUGCUUACCGGUCCAUGGAACGCUCACUUACAGAUGACGAGAUCAACAAGUUGCAGGUAAGUUCAGAAGCUGUUCGUCUUUCUAUCCAGACAUUGUUCUCGCUGUAGGUUGCCGAAAUUUUUGAUGCUUCAAUGUUGUUUUUGAAUUCUUUCUGACUGCAGGAGAAAGUAAGGGAAGUAGCUGAAUCCAAGCUAAACGUGGUUCUGAGAUGAAGAGGUCGUCUCUGCUUUUAUGCCGAAGAUCUCCAAGUUUUCUUUUAACAGACUACUCUUAUUUAUCAGCACCUCUUAGAAAAAAUUGUUAUGAAGGUUUCCCCCAAGGAAGAGCAUUCAAGAGACGACUCACGUUAGAUCGGUCACGAACCGUCGUGACAAUUGGAUGAAACAGAAGUCAAGAUGGUUCGACAAAACGUAAAUCCUGACAGUGAACUCACCAGCAGAUUUUUCCCCGAUCGAAGGCUCUCGAGGUUCACUUUCGGGUCUAUGCCGAGAAUUUGAGUGACCCUAAAGUGAAAUACAGUGUUGCAGUCUUUGUGUAGAGUUCGUACCAUUUUUCAAUGAAUUAGUUCCAAGCACCAUAUGUUAUUUAUCAUCCUCUAUUACAAUCCAAUUCAAAAUUUGGGCCGAAUUUCGUUAGACAAUGAAAGAAACACACUAUAGAACAAUGUUUUUUUUUUCGGAUUAGACAUCGUAGUUAGUACAAGAUAGAAAGUGAUAAAGUGAACGUUACAUUGGUGUCCGUUUAUAGGCUAUGCUGGAUUUGAACUCAGAACCUCCUAAUCAUCGGUAAAUAACUCUACCACUAGAGCAACUCCACUCAGGCACACCAUAGAACAAUGUUACGUAAGCCGGGAUCUCGUUUAACCCACGUUUCCAAGCAACUGUUGAGCUAAUCUAUCUGUGUUUCUAUCCAAACAAUGUCGUGUAAUCUGAUGCUGAGACAGCUUCAGUUGGGCUUCUUCGAGUAGUAUCAGCUGCUGUAUUCUGAUAGCUGCUGAUCCAGGUGAUCAGAAUAACAUUAUCAUUUUAAUCAAGAGGUCCUAACAACCAUUAAAAAUUGUAUCUAGAUCUAACGGUUGAAGAAACAGACAAAAAUGACAUUUCACACCACAAUCUUAAUAAUUGCAGCCGCUUCUAAAGCCAUAUAAAUGUAUAUAUAUACUUAGAGUAUAAUAUAGAUUAAGUACUACACUUUUUUAAAAGUCAUAUACAUGUGUAUACACUUGUGUACGGGUUGUACAAACUUAUACAUAUUUGUAUGAUCCGUACAACUCUCCUUAUAAAUUCGUAGAGUUAGACAUGGGUGAAAGAAUUUGGAAACAAUAUGACUAUAUUGUUGCUCCAAGUUAAUCUUGCUUGCUAUCUCUCAGAAUUUCGAUGAUGUUCUGGUUCCAGCCGACCACGUGAAAAGCACUACAACAAAUCUUUUGUGACCAGGAGAAUGGUCACUAAAAUGUUUUAACAUGUUUUUUGCGACACAAUUUACCGUUAGAGCUUUAUGUAGGCAACAAUUGGUCGCUAAAUCAUCUGACGGAUGCAAGAAGUUGCCGCAAAUAUUUGUGACAGAGUCACUGUUUAUAAACAAAAAUUGAUGAUAUUCUGGGACAAUCUCUGUUGUGACCACACUGAUGGUCACAUAUUUUGUUUCAUUUUCCGACCAAUUACUAAAUAAAUGAUAGUUUACGACAGUAGCCAUAUAUUGGUCACAGUAUGUAUACGGAUCAUUUUUUUGUUGUAGUGAUUUGUGACAGGACAUCAUAAACAAAAGCAAUUGCUGCAAUAGGGUUCUGCAGUUGCUUGCAUCAUUUAAUCUAUUUGAGUUGCAUUGACUGAAAAUGGUGGGAAUCUUUACAUGUGAUUGCUUCAUUUAUAUUACGGGUGAGUUUAUGCAUAGCUCAGGUUUAUAUAUGUUCAUUUUGCUAAUGAUAGGCGCUAUAGAGAUGCGCUGGAUUGAUCCCUGCUUCCCUUUCACUAAUCCAUCUUUCGAGCUCGAGAAUCUGUGUGGAGUUGUCUGAGGAGUAGCUGGGGGAUCUUGCUGAGGAGGUCCAGUUGAUAGACAAGUUCACGAACAAGAAGGGAAUGACGAGCCAUUGCUAUUGGAUUACUUAUUGGCCCAUGGAACGCUCCCUUACAAACGAUGAGAUCAACAAGUUGCAGGUAUGGUUUCAGAAGUCUGCCAUCUCUGUGGGUUUGGAAUAUCUUGCUGUAGGUGUAACCAUUUGCAAAUUCUUUCGACUGCAGAGUAAAGGAGGGAAAGAAGCGGAAUCGAAGCUAAAAGUCGUUCUGAGAUGAAGAUGUCAUCUUUGUGAAGUUGUGAUAUAUUGUGAUGUUGUUGGUGCAGAUUCGUUGAGAUCCGAUGUAAAGCUAAGCAAAUUUCGAUGUAAACCGGGGCAAUUGCUACCAUUUGUCUCACUGCGACGAUUUAACGAAUGAGUUCCUACUUUCUAGCACCAUCUCUGUUAUCGUCAACCUCGAUUUCAAUCCUUAUUGAUUUAAUUUCAGGCUCAACUUCAUUCGCAAUGAAAGAAAGACCGCACCAUAGAACGAUGUUACACAAGCCGGGAUCCUCACAUUUCCAAUAGUACAACCGAAUAGGCAAAAAUUCGACAACCAACUCAAAUUCACAAAAGAACAAUGUCAAAUGUUUGAACCCUGUGCCUCCUUUAGUUAGGCUGCGUGGCACGAGCAUCAUAUACAUCCUCAAUACCCUUUUCAACGUUUUGUUAAUAGCAUCGUCGUAAAACUCCCCCGCCAUAAUUGAGAACACUGGACCAGCACGAGAGUUGUAGGUUUCAAACUCCACAAUUCAAGCUUUGUGGUGUAAAAAUAUUGUUUCUUUGAACUCUUAUAACUACUAUUAAGAAAGUUCUUCCUUGUUGAACUUGUUCCAUGCUUCCUGUUUCCGUACAGCACAAACCAGCCACAAAGAUUUCAGACUUCUAAAAUGUUCGAGGUAUUGCUUAUAACGACCAGAAAUCCAAGUUAGUUUUCAUGGACAGCAUACCUUGAGGAUAUCGAAGACCUUCUCGGCGAUGUAUUUCUGUUCGAGUGUAGCACCUUUCUGCUGGACCUUAUCCGGAUGCACGCAUAAAGUUGCUUUUCGGUAUACUUUCUUCACUGAAGAAGAUGUAAUCAGAUCGGUCAGAGAGACAGGAUCCCAACCACAUUCAGUCCAGAGCACCUGUCCCAAAAUUGAACUAUGUUAAACCGACAUUCUCUAUGAAAUCUUGUUAAUUUUCAUCAGUACCAACACCCCGAACGAUCAAUCCCAGUUGCCAACGAUGGACACCGGAUGAUCAUCAACUCCAAAUGUCGAAAUACUCCCGGUUGCUAAACUUCAUACACUAAUGAAGAACCAAAAGCAUGCCAAAAGUGGAACCAUGAAAAGGAGAAAGGUGAUAAGUGACAUACGUAUUGCAAAGAAGAUAGCAGAGCACGCAUGUUGCCUUCUUUCCCAGCAGCCCACCGUUUUAUGUCGAGAUCCAUUUUCUCAGCGAUCAUCUGCAGCAGUGAUUCCCAUUUUUCAAAAGAUCCAAUAAUUAAAUACCAAAGAGAAAACACUGUUAUGCAUGACAUUAAAAGGCAGGCAAUAUAUAUGAUAGCAAGCAACCAUUUAAGCAUUAUGUGAAGCCAUCUCGAGUCAUUUAUAUUCCGAAAGAGUAAAAACAGGUUCGAGCAUAAAAGGGCAAAGCCAUAACAUCCUAUGCCACUGUCUUUAACUUACACGCCUCUCUUCUUGUUCUCGUUGAGUUUGAUAGUCACGUUGGUUCAUAUCAGCAACCGCUUGUGCCUGUAAUAUAUUAUGAAACAUCAUUUGUUCCGAUACAAACUCGGAAAAUAUGACAUUAGGGGGGCAGAGAAUAACGAGGUAGUAUGUCCUAGAAUACGCACCACUCUGUGUUUGGUCCUCUGGUGGCGUUCCAACCUCGCUCUUCGUCUUUCUUCUGUUUCUCCUUCAACUUCUUCGAAUUCCCCAGAGAGAGAGGCAUCUUUUCCAAAAACAAGUUACUCACAUAUCAGUAACAAAAAAUUCCAGACUAAAAAACUCUAACAUGUCACAUCACAUUCGAGCAGAAAACACACCUCCGAAAAGGGAAGAAAAGUCGUCAAACAUAUUUGCAGCAGACGACGCCUUCCUCAUACUAGAUGAAGCACCAGAAGCCUUCACACUGGGCACUUGAGCUUUACCUCUGCUAUUCACAGUUGCGCCAAAUAGAGGAUCCUAUACAGGACCAAAAACAAGAGAAAGGAGUUAUAAUGGAGAUGCUAAAGAAAGUAACUGGUUAUUUGAAUCGACAGUUUUUUUUACCGAAGAUGAGCUCCUCGACUUCGGUACACUACUUGAUCUCGCACCCAUUCCGAAAAAGGAAUCCAGAUCAUCCACAUUCUUCUGUGGCGUCUUCUUCCCAUUUUCUCUGACUUCUGACUGCCUAUUAGGAGUAGCUCGCACUCUACAGGUGGCGAAUUCCUCAAGUUCAUCAAUUGAGGAUGUAUGAGAGCUUUUUACUGCACCAUGAAGCAAAACAGUAUUAUUAACUCGUUAUGAGGAUGACGAAAAGUUGAUAGUUUUAUCAUGAGUGAAGAGGAAAGAAAUAACCUUUCACCGACUUCAGAACCUGUCCAGGUUUCGGAGGGGGCUUCAACGACGAUGAAAAUUUUGAUGAACCAUUUGCAGGCCUUGUACUUCCGCCUCCUGAACGACUGAAUUUAGUCAGCUCCUCAAGUGGAUCCACAAAUGAGGAAUUCGUUGUAGCUGUUGAAGUUGAUUCCAAGACUACGAAAGGGUCGUCUACUGAGGUGAAACCCGGUGUAGCACUUCUGCAUGAGCAUUCAAAAAAUUCAAACUUCUACAUAAUGCUCAUGAGAUUCGAGAUAUAAAUCCAGAUUUCUAAACCUUACAAUCUAAAAGGAUCUCCAACUUUACUACUUCAAAAUAAAUCCAGAUUUCUAAACCUUCAAAAGCUAGGAUCAAGAACCAGCAACAUGAAAAUGCAUCACUCAACCCUAUAUGCUCGAGGUAAAAGACUAAAAGCAAUCCAACGAAAUAGUCGAGACACAAUCGCUUUUAAUUUUGACCAGAAAACAUCCACAUUCUGCACGUUAAUCAAUUCCUAGUUCUUUCUCCAAACAAUCAUUCCCAUAUUUAAAGAUGGUAAAAACAAGUUAACUAAACUGAAUGCCCUAUACCAUGUCAGGGAAAACGUUACAAAUAUUAAACAUACCCUUUAUGCGAUGUCGUGCUCGAAGUAAACCCAGGCACCAAGUCAUCAUCAAACCCAGAUGAUCCUUUCCUAUUAACAGAAGAAGCAGCGCCUGAAUUCGAACCGAAAUUCCCCAACAAGUCAUCGAUCGGACUGCCUUGCUUCGGCUUAGAACCAAACGACCCAAAAAUGUUAUCAUUGCUAGCAGAAUUCGAGCUACCCAACCCGCCAAUACCGCCAAAUAUAUCGUCAUUGCCGAAUGACGAUCCGCCAUUCGAACGAUUCGUCCCUGAAAAUAUCGAAUCAAAAUCGAAAGAAGACCCACCGCCAUUGCUGCUACCCUGCUUCGAACUCUUGUCAAACCCAUCAAAGAUAUCAAACCCAUCAGCAGAAGAACCUCCAAAGCUCUGAGCUUUCGUGCUGCUUCCGCCGACAAACGACCCAUUACUAAACGAAUUGGCACCACCAUACGCAUGCGUGGAGGGUUGGUGGUGUCGGUGGUUGGAAACCGAGUCGGGCCGGGUCCGGGUCGGUGCAGCGGUAGCUGAGUUGGGUCGUUUCGAUGAGGCCAUCGGAGCCGAUUUCCCUUGCGGCUUCAGCCCGAAUCGCUCCGUCAGAACACCAAAUUCGUCCAUCUUCACGGAUUCAACGAAACGCAGUUGCUGAUUCGGAAAGUAUUAACAAACAGGGCCGAUUUUUAGAAAGCACUAACGUAAGAACCCUAAGAUACUGGAGAGGGAGAUCCGAUCCGAUUUUGAUCGAUCGAUCGUGAUUGCUUGCUUGCCCUGUUGGGAUUCCUCUCCGGGUUUCGGUCGAGAGAGGAAUGGGGGGGGGGGGGGGGGGGGGUAUGGUGGUUUGGGGUGGGGAAAGGGAGAGUGGGGGGGGGUGGCGGGAGGAGGGGAAACCAGAGGAAGAGAUGGAUUUGCGGGGGAGGAAAUUUCUGGAUGGAGGAGGAAAAGGAGAAGACGAUUGAUGAAGGGGAUAUUCUGAAUCUCUGGAAAUUGAUAAUUUGAUUGAUGAAAGUCGUAAGCUUUGGGGAGGAUUGAAUUUGAUCUGUCAGAAUGAUUGGAAGGUGAGAGAGAAGGGUUUGAAUUGCAGGCGGUGGAUGCCACUGCUUACUUGGCUGGCUUACAGAUAGGACAUGUUUUAGGGAAAUUUGUUUCCUUUUUGGUAAGUUGGCAAUUUUGUAUGAUUAAAUAUUCUAAUUUUGAACCAAAUCAUAUAUUAAUUAAAAAAUACUAAUUAUUGUAAAAAGAUAUGCUAAUUCGAAAAAUUUUGUAUGAUUACAAAUUCUAAUUUUGAACCACAUCAUAAUAUUAAUUAAAAAAAUACUAAUUAUUGUAAAAAGAUAUGCUAAUUAGAAAACUUAAACCAAAUUAAGCCAAUAAUUUUAAAUAUUUAAUAUAUAGUCAUCUUGAAAGAAAAGCAAUGAAUUAUUAUUUUUCAUAUAAAAUUAUUAAAUAAAGUUUUAUUUCCGAUAAGAUGAUUAUUAAAUAGAUGCUUAAUUAGAGAACACUUUUUAAGAAUUAAUUAAUCCAAAAAAAUUAAAUUAACAUAAUAUUCCUUUCCCUGACAAUAAUUUUGACCAGAUAAUAACCAGUGGCUACACCAGCCAGCCAUUGUUGAACUUCACUCGACCUCAACAAAGAAACCCCUUUUAUUCCUCACGUGCUCACCUUUUUUCAUACCCUUUCAUUUUCACCUUCUCCACCAACCAUCCAUGGCGAUCCCUUUCUUCCUCCUCUCCUUCUUCCUCUUCAUCGUCGCAGCUUCAGGAGCAACGCCGCCGCCAAUUUCUCCUCCGUCUUCUUCUUCAUCAGUCUGUCCCUUCAACCUAACAUACGUCCGCACAAUCCCAUGGGACACCUCCCUCUGCGACAACCCAACCGCCAGUCGCCGGAGCCACUGCUGCCAAACGCUACUCCGCNNNNNN
rnacentral:lncRNA from 1 species